UAUCUGUCACGGAUAGUUCGGUGGGAGGUCAGCCGCCAAGUCAAUAACCUUGCUUAGGUAAUUGCCAGCGGGACUGGUGCCUGGUACGAAUCCCGGGGUCGUCAUUGUACUCGUGCGAGUAAUCCACGAUGCUAUGAGGCGCUAAGCAAUGGAAGUGACCCUUGAGGGAAGCAAUUCUGCAGAGACAUUUCCACCCCGGGAUGGCGUCGCCAGAUUACACCGUCCCGUUACAGGGAAGUUGGCACUUUGGCUGGGCAACUACUAUU
rfam:Aspergillus kawachii IFO 4308 DNA, contig: scaffold00022.